rnacentral:rRNA from 1 species
GAGUUUGAUCCUGGCUCAGGACGAACGCUGGCGGCGUGCCUAAUACAUGCAAGUCGAGCGGACAGAUGGGAGCUUGCCCCUGAUGUUAGCGGCGGACGGGUGAGUAACACGUGGGUAACCUGCCUGUAAGACUGGGAUAACUCCGGGAAACCGGGGCUAAUACCGGAUGGUUGUUUGAACCGCAUGGUUCAGACAUAAAAGGUGCUUCGGCUACCACUUACAGAUGGACCCGCGGCGCAUUAGCUAGUUGGUGAGGUAACGGCUCACCAAGGCGACGAUGCGUAGCCGACCUGAGAGGGUGAUCGGCCACACUGGGACUGAGACACGGCCCGACUCCUACGGGAGGCAGCAGUAGGGAAUCUUCCGCAAUGGACGAAAGUCUGACGGAGCAACGCCGCGUGAGUGAUGAAGGUUUUCGGAUCGUAAAGCUCUGUUGUUAGGGAAGAACAAGUGCCGUUAAAUAGGGCGGCACCUGACGGUACCUAACCAGAAAGCCACGGCUAACUACGUGCCAGCAGCCGCGGUAAUACGUAGGUGGCAAGCGUUGUCCGGAAUUAUUGGGCGUAAAGGGCUCGCAGGCGGUUUUUAAGUCUGAUGUGAAAGCCCCCGGCUCAACCGGGGAGGGUCAUUGGAAACUGGGGAACUUGAGUGCAGAAGAGGAGAGUGGAAUUCCACGUGUAGCGGUGAAAUGCGUAGAGAUGUGGAGGAACACAGUGGCGAAGGCGACUCUCUGGUCUGUAACUGACGCUGAGGAGCGAAAGCGUGGGGAGCGAACAGGAUUAGAUACCCUGGUAGUCCACGCCGUAAACGAUGAGUGCUAAGUGUUAGGGGGUUUCCGCCCUUAGUGCUGCAGCUAACGCAUUAAGCACUCCGCCUGGGGAGUACGGUCGCAAGACUGAAACUCAAAGGAAUUGACGGGGGCCCGCACAAGCGGUGGAGCAUGUGGUUUAAUUCGAAGCAACGCGAGAACCUUACCAGGUCUUGACAUCCUCUGACAAUCCUAGAGAUAGGACGUCCCCUUCGGGGGCAGAGUGACAGGUGGUGCAUGGUUGUCGUCAGCUCGUGUCGUGAGAUGUUGGGUUAAGUCCCGCAAGAGCGCAACCCUUGAUCUUAGUUGCCAGCAUUCAGUUGGGCACUCUAAGGUGACUGCCGGUGACAAACCGGAGGAAGGUGGGGAUGACGUCAAAUCAUCAUGCCCCUUAUGACCUGGGCUACACACG